UGGGGAAUAUUGCACAAUGGGCGAAAGCCUGAUGCAGCGACGCCGCGUGAGUGAAGAAGUAUUUCGGUAUGUAAAGCUCUAUCAGCAGGGAAGAAAACAAUGACGGUACCUGACUAAGAAGCCCCGGCUAACUACGUGCCAGCAGCCGCGGUAAUACGUAGGGGGCAAGCGUUAUCCGGAUUUACUGGGUGUAAAGGGAGCGUAGACGGUUAUGUAAGUCAGAUGUGAAAGCCCGGGGCUCAACCCCGGACGUGCAUUUGAAACUAUGAAACUAGAGUGCAGGAGAGGUAAGUGGAAUUCCUAGUGUAGCGGUGAAAUGCGUAGAUAUUAGGAGGAACACCAGUGGCGAAGGCGGCUUACUGGACUGUAACUGACGUUGAGGCUCGAAAGCGUGGGGAGCAAACAGG
rnacentral:rRNA from 2 species